rnacentral:rRNA from 1 species
AUUGAACGCUGGCGGCAUGCCUUACACAUGCAAGUCGAACGGUAACGGGCCUUCGGGUGCCGACGAGUGGCGCACGGGUGCGUAAUACAUCGGAACGUGCCCGAUCGUGGGGGAUAACGAGGCGAAAGCUUUGCUAAUACCGCAUACGAUCUACGGAUGAAAGCCGGGGACCGCAAGGCCUUGCGCGGACGGAGCGGCCGAUGGCAGAUUUGGUAGUUGGUGGGAUAAAAGCUUACCAAGCCGACGAUCUGUAGCUGGUCUGAGAGGAUGAUCAGCCACACUGGGACUGAGACACGGCCCAGACUCCUACGGGAGGCAGCAGUGGGGAAUUUUGGACAAUGGGCGCAAGCCUGAUCCAGCCAUGCCGCGUGCAGGAUGAAGGCCUUCGGGUUGUAAACUGCUUUUGUACGGAACGAAAAGCCUUCUUUUAAUACAGGAGGGUCAUGACGGUACCGGAAGAAUAAGCACCGGCUAACUACGUG